UACGUAGGGGGCAAGCGUUGUCCGGAAUCAUUGGGCGUAAAGAGCGUGUAGGCGGCCAGGUAGGUCUGCUGUGAAAACUCGAGGCUCAACCUCGAGACGUCGGCGGAAACCAUCUGGCUAGAGUCCGGAAGAGGAGAGUGGAAUUCCUGGUGUAGCGGUGAAAUGCGCAGAUAUCAGGAAGAACACCCGUGGCGAAGGCGGCUCUCUGGGACGGUACUGACGCUGAGACGCGAAAGCGUGGGAGCGAACAGG
rnacentral:rRNA from 1 species